rnacentral:misc_RNA from 1 species
GCGAGUAUGGCCCUCACGGGUCUAAUCCACCAUAAACACCCUUUGUGAACCAGUCAGGGGGACUCGGCCGUGAAAGCCCAGGCGAUUAGCGGAAGGGCCCUCCUUUGCAAACCCGUUUAGAAGUCUUGAAAGUACUUUUGUAUAAUCUAGUA